rnacentral:rRNA from 1 species
GUAACAGGAAGAAGCUUGCUUCUUUGCUGACGAGUGGCGGACGGGUGAGUAAUGUCUGGGAAACUGCCUGAUGGAGGGGGAUAACUACUGGAAACGGUAGCUAAUACCGCAUAACGUCGCAAGACCAAAGAGGGGGACCUUCGGGCCUCUUGCCAUCGGAUGUGCCCAGAUGGGAUUAGCUAGUAGGUGGGGUAACGGCUCACCUAGGCGACGAUCCCUAGCUGGUCUGAGAGGAUGACCAGCCACACUGGAACUGAGACACGGUCCAGACUCCUACGGGAGGCAGCAGUGGGGAAUAUUGCACAAUGGGCGCAAGCCUGAUGCCGCCAUGCCGCGUGUAUGACGAAGGCCUUCGGGUUGUAAAGUACUUUCAAGCGGGGGAGGAAGGGAGUAAAGUUAAUACCUUUGCUCAUUGACGUUACCCGCAGAAGAAGCACCGGCUAACUCCGUGCCAGCAGCCGCGGUAAUACGGAGGGUGCAAGCGUUAAUCGGAAUUACUGGGCGUAAAGCGCACGCAGGCGGUUUGUUAAGUCAGAUGUGAAAUCCCCGGGCUCAACCUGGGAACUGCAUCUGAUACUGGCAAGCUU